AUUGAACGCUGGCGGCAUGCCUUACACAUGCAAGUCGAACGGCAGCACGGGAGCAAUCCUGGUGGCGAGUGGCGAACGGGUGAGUAAUAUAUCGGAACGUGCCCAGUCGUGGGGGAUAACGCAGCGAAAGCUGUGCUAAUACCGCAUACGAUCUAAGGAUGAAAGCGGGGGAUCGCAAGACCUCGCGCGAUUGGAGCGGCCGAUAUCAGAUUAGCUAGUUGGUGGGGUAAAGGCCCACCAAGGCGACGAUCUGUAGCUGGUCUGAGAGGACGACCAGCCACAGUGGAACUGAGACACGGGCCAGACUCCUACGGGAGGCAGCAGUGGGGAAUUUUGGACAAUGGGCGAAAGCCUGAUCCAGCAAUGCCGCGUGCAGGAUGAAGGCCUUCGGGUUGUAAACUGCUUUUGUACGGAACGAAAAGACUCCUUCUAAUACAGGGGGUCCAUGACGGUACCGUAAGAAUAAGCACCGGCUAACUACGUGCCAGCAGCCGCGGUAAUAC
rnacentral:rRNA from 1 species